UACGGAGGGGGCUAGCGUUGCUCGGAAUCACUGGGCGUAAAGCGCACGUAGGCGGACUCUUAAGUCGGUGGUGAAAUCCUGGAGCUCAACUCCAGAACUGCCUUCGAUACUGAGAGUCUCGAGUCCGAGAGAGGUGAGUGGAACUGCGAGUGUAGAGGUGAAAUUCGUAGAUAUUCGCAAGAACACCAGUGGCGAAGGCGGCUCACUGGCUCGGUACUGACGCUGAGGUGCGAAAGCGUGGGGAGCAAACAGGG
rnacentral:rRNA from 1 species